UUUUUUUUUUUUUUUUGUCUUUUUGCCAUUUCGUGGGCCGCUCCCGCCGCAUAUGGAGGUUCCCAGGCUAGGGGUCGAAUCCGAGCUGUAGACGCCAGCCUACGCCAGAGCCACAGCAACGCAGGAUCCGAGCCGCGUCUGCAAUCUACACCACAGCUCACGGCAACGCCGGAUCAUUAACCCACUGAGCAAGGCCAGCGAUCGAACCUGCAACCUCAUGGGUCCUAGUCGGAUUUGUUAACCACUGAGCCACAACGGAAACUCCUGAAUUGAUUUUGAUUAAUGAAUCUUGUGAAAAAGAGCAAAGCAAAUAAUCAUAAGACAAAGUAGUAUUUAAAUGAGUCAAUAUAUACUUAUUCAUAUUAAAAAUAAAUCAUCCUUCCUAUAAGAUACAAAAGUUUAAAUAGAAGCAACAACAAUCCAUGUAAACUGUUUGAAAUUUACAAAUGUUUGGUCUCGGAGUGUCCACUACAAUAAGCAAAGUAUUACAUUGUUUUGGUUGAAGUUCAUUCAUAUUCAUAAAAUAUGGUUUUAUGAAACCUGAGAUUAUACUGAAAUAGUCUAUUCAACUCAUCAUAGUCAUUAAGAAAACAUAUUAUACUUAGUUACAUAUUAUAGGAAACAACAAUAACUAUCUGUAUGAAAUUUAUAAUUUUAUAAGACCAGGAACAUAAUUAUAAUCAUUUUCUAUUAAAGGCACAGGUCAAUAAUUCAAAGAACACUUUUCCAUAUCCAGUAAUACUACAAUAGCAGUAAUUUGCUUUGGUCAUUAAUUGACUCUGACCUGGGGUUGUUAAUCUUUCAUUUACCUUCCACUCCUAUUUACAUAAACGUGUUUUUUUAAAUAUAUGAGAGAUCACUUUCAAGCAUUUAAUUAGAACACUCACGAAUGUUACUUCUCAAGCGCCAUUCCACAUUUGCAGGUAUGUAAUCACUUCUUAAGCUACUUUAUUAUUAAACUGAAAUGACCUUGGAAUGGUCUGCUGAGGCUCUAAAGAAACUUAAGAGAAAGUAAUAUCAUAGGAUGAUGUCUUUGAUUUAAGAAUAUGUGAGAAAGGAAAGCAUAGCUUGAAUUUAUUAUUAUUAUAACUAUAGUAACAUCUUUGGCAUGGGAAAUACCUAAAAAUACAUAAGAACUGCUUCAGUUGUGCUGUUUUAAAACUGUAGAAUUCCCAUUUUCUUCAUUCUGCUUUUCAACAUUUCCAGUUUUUCUUACUUAGUGUUUAUCACUUUACAUAUUUACUCCCUUUCUUGAAAAAGCAAAAGUAUAUUAUAUAUUAUGGAUAUAUCCUAUUAUAGAAACAUGUCAUUUGUAUUAUAUAUAUUAUAUAAUCAGUUUAUUUAUAUUUAUAUAUUUAUAUAUUUAUCUAUUUUGCUUUCUUAAGGCCACACCUGUAGCAUAUGGAAGUUAUCAGGCUAGGGAUUGAAUUGUAGCUGCAGCUGCAGGCCUACACCACAGCCACAGCAACACAGUAUCCAAGCCUUAUCUGUGAUCCCACCACAGCUCAGAGCAACACCUAAUUCUUAACCCACUGAGCGAGGCCAGGGAUCAAACCCACAUCCUCAUGGAUACUAGUUGGGUUUGUAACCCAUUGAGCCACAAUGGGAACUCCAAUGUAUUUUAAAAUGUAAAGCAGUGUUAAUGUGUUUUAGUUUUACUGGUUUCUGGAUUUGAUCAAUUUUCCACCUUCAGAAAAGCUCACUUAAAGUAACAGUUGAAGCAGUUAGUUUUAAACAUCUCCUUUAACUAGAAGAACAACAAAAUGUUUCAUAGUAUUCAACAAAUAAGGAUUUAAAUACCCCAAACAUUAAAAAAUAAAAAUUGUCUAAAUUUGUUCUUGAAACCAAGGGUCAAAGUGACUAAAAAAAAGGACAUCAACAUUUCUACAAAAUCAUCAGACCUUGAGAGAGAUGGCCCACUUUGCCAUAGAAACAGUUAAAGAAUAAAGAAGCAAUCACAGCAGCAUUAUGAAGAGUCAGUUAUGUGUUUUAAAACUAUGGUGGGAUAAUGCUAAUUCAAUAUGAAAAUCUUCCCAAUUAGCCGUUUCAGUAAAAUAGCAAAUUAACCAAUCUCUUAUUAUAGAAAGUGCCAUUUUCACAAUUUAAUAAAACACAAAUCUAUUAUGGCAAAUAAGGUUAAAGUGGAAAAAUGCCAUAGAAAUUUUAAAAAUGAGACUUUGUAAUGUGCUAAUGAGCCCUCUUAAAAAAGUAGGUCAUUUUGGCUCUGUUGUACCAUUGUUAUGAAACUAGUCUAGGAAGAAAUAUAGAGUAAUAACAUCUAAAACACAGAAACAAACACUAAUUUGUGAAUUCAUUUAGACUAAUAAGCCUCUUUGUGUAUUCUCAUACAAUAUUCCUUUCAAUAAAAAAAGUUGCUCACAGCCUAGGACUUAGAGGGAGAGAGAAUGGAAAGUGUCCCAUCUCUUAUGUAUCAAGGUGAUUACACAGCAAGCAUCCUCAUCCUUCUCCCAUGUCCCCAGCUAUCUUGCUACCUCAUCAUCUGUAGACUAUGAGCUCUGAAUAAAUUUGUUUUAUGUGCCCAUAAAGGCAAAACAUGUUUAGGGCACUAGCGAUGAAGGGGUUAACAACAACAACAAAACAGGAGGUAAGUUUCAGAUUUGACUAACCUAUCAAAGUUUUUGUGCUCUAAAAUAAAGCUCUUUUGAUGUUCUGCCACAGAUUUUGUGCUUCAUAGUUUAAUGUUUGUUGCAUGUUGGAAGAAAGAGGAUUAGUAUAACUGGAAUCUAAUACCCAGCACAAAUGAACAUCUUCUCAGAAAAGAAAAUCAUGGACUUGGAGAAAAGACUUGUGGCUGCCUGAUGGGAGGGGGAGGGAGUGGGAGGGAUCAGGAGCUUGGGCUUAUCAGACACAACUUAGAAUAGAUUUACAAGGAGAUCCUGCUGAAUAGCAUUGAGAACUUUGUCUAGAUACUCAUGUUGCAACAGAACAAAGGGUGGGGAAAAAAAUGUAAUUGUAAUGUAUACAUGUAAGGAUAACUUGAUCCCCUUGCUGUACAGUGG
rnacentral:lncRNA from 1 species